AAAUUAUGCCUCACAAUCCUUAUUGAAUUCUUUGAGGCUAGGACAAAACACAUUGAUGAAGUGGAUGUCGUGUACAUGGGUUUUAGCAAUGCAUUUGAUAAAGUUCCCUGUGGUAGGCUCAUUCACAACGCAAAGGGGCGUGGGAUACAUGGUAAUUUGUCUGUCUGAAUAGGUGUCCUACACAGUUAGUUAAGAUCCUUGCAAAAGGUUCCUCAAAAGCCAGAAUGAACAUUAAAUGUUCUGGUUUUAUUACUGCCUGUGAUUUUCCAAUUGCCUGCAUGUCUGGCAAAAUUCAACUACAUCCUUAUGCAGUCCAGGUCAGUAAAAAUGUUUUAACGUUUUGGCUUGACCUCCCACUGAUAAUUGAUGUGUUAGCCACAAAACCCCCUUGCUGUAUCAUAAUGGCAAUACAACUUGAUAAGCGUUUAGCCAUUUCUCACCUGACUGAAUAUGUGAAAGUCUCCAUUUCCUCAUCAAGACAUCAUUUUCUAAAACAAAACCAUUCUGGAAUACACUCAGAUUAUUCUUCUAUAUAUUCUUUUUGAUAAAAUUUUCUCAGUUUUUCAUCCUUCUGGUGUACUCAGUUAAUUUUUCUGAGCUAAAAAUAUCCACUUGGUCCUCCAUCUGUUCUGGUUUUGGCUCAACCUUUCGAUCAAAUAUGGUCUCUGGUAAUUUUACUUCAACUUCCUUAUUCUUUGAUUUCUCCAGCUGUUUCAUCUGGUGGUUUUGUGACCUUGUUAUCACACAGACAGGAAAAUUCCCAGAAUAUAAUUCCUGUGAUUUCUCAGUAGCCUGAAUUUUCACUGCCUUUUCAAAUGCAGUAGCCAACACUCCUACUUGUGAUCCACGCCAUAACGUUUCCAAGGACAAAUUGUAUCCCUGGAACCAUGAGAUUCUCCAAUACUCCGACCACCACUUCUCCACUUUUCACUGGACACUCCAAACUUACUGUACACAAUGGAACACUUCUCAUCUCACAAUGAAUUCCAUGUACUAGCACUUUUUUUUUCUGGCAAUAGUCCUUCUAACUUAUAUAUCUCCUUUACUUCCAACAUCAACAAUUGACAUGGUCCCUUAUCUCUUUAAUAAUGUAACUUAUUUAACUGUUGCUCUUUGUCUAUGCAAGUAAUUGUUGCCUUCACAAGUAAAUGGUUUAAGAUGAUCUGGCAUUUCCUUCUCAACCAAUCUCUGAUCAGGUUGUGCAUUCUGGUGCAACUUUUUAGUCUCCACUGUGCUUUCCUUUACACUUUUACAAAAUUCACUGGCUUAUCCUGUUUUCCUACAUCCGCCUUCCCAGUGCUUUUCCUAACCUAUCAACACUGUGACUUCAUAUGGCCUAUUAAUUGUAAUGAAUACACCUGAUCUACUUAACUUCUCUUUCCCCUCAUAAGUUUCUUUUUUUUAAUUCUAUUAUAAGCUACCUUUAUUAAUUUCCAAGAGGUCUCUACUCCUUCCUCACCACCUGAGGAUUUCUCUUUUCCCCAAUUUCUAUUCCUCGUGGAUUAAAAUUGAUGUUGGAAGCCAGACUUUGAUUUAUGAAUCAGCUCAGAAUUAUUAGCCAUUUCAGCUGCUAAUCUUGCUGUUUUAAUGCUCUGCUCUUCCAUUUGAGAUCUACCAGCUCACGAAGUGAAUUUUUGAACUCCUUGAGAGUUAUUGUCUCUCUCAGAGCGUCGUAUGUUUCAUCUAUUUUCAAUGCACCUAUCCUCCUUGUUUGGUCGUUUUAAACUCAGCGUACGUUUGGCCAGGGCCCAUCCUUAGACUCCUGCAACCUUGUCUGUUAGCUUCUGCCACAAGCUCUUAUGCAUUUAUGAUGGCUUUCGCAAACUCCUCAGACUCUUCAGAUACCUCCUCUGAUAAUGGUGCAAAUACCUCACGAGCUCGACCUACCAACUGUGUUUCGCUCAGCAGAACCCACAUGGUCACUAGCCACUUCAUUGUUUUAGGCACUUUCUCAAAUGAAACGUAAAAAGCUUCUGCAUCCUUCUCAUCAAAUUUACGCAAUAUAUUUAAACACAUCCCUGACAGAUUUUUGGCUACAAUAGGUUUGUUCAUCAUCACUAUCCUCCUCACUAAGCCUGCCUUAUGCCUUCAUCUCCAUCCUUUUAAGCCAAUGUUCAUGUCUAAUUGACAACUUCUGCAGAUCAAAUUCUGUCCCUUUCUCCCUUUCCUCUGCUUUUAACUCUAAUUCAAGUUGUUUCAGUUCCUUUUCAAGCUGUUUCAUCUACAGUUGAAUUCUAGGCAUUUCCAAAGAUUCUGAUGCUGUUUCCAGCGAACUUAAAUGACGAGCUAUUGCUGUAAUUACCUCCUUUUCUCACAGCCGAAGGUAACCCCAUCUUCUAGUUGGUCUGCCUAUUCCAACACCUUUGUCUGGCUCACCUUUUAUGAAACCCCCAAAUCCACUUCUUCAAUCACCAGAAAACUCUUUGUGACCGAAAGAGCCAUUGCCUUACAAAACACUGUUAAACCAACAGAACACAACAGCCGGAACAAAAGACAAAAAACACACAGAAUGUUACGGGCUUAGAUGAGGUGGGAAUUGUAAAGUGCAUUCAGGAAGGCUUCCUUCAGCAAUAUGCAGAGGGUUCUAAUCUGGAAGGGGCAAAACUCACCUACUCUUUGGAAGUGACAGUGGGGGAGCACUUUCAGACCAGUGACCAUAGUUCUAUUAAUUUUAAAAUAGUUGUGGAGAGGGACAAAACUGGUCGACAGGUUUAAGUUUGAAAUUGAGGCAAGGCGAAUUUUGAUUUGAAUUAGUCAGGAGCUUGGGGUUGACUGGGGUAGUUUAUUUGCAGGAAAAGGGAUCUCUGGCAUGUGGGAGGCCUUUACAAGUGUGAUCACGAUAGUUCAAGGACUAUAUGUUCCUUUGAGGGUGAAGGGCAAGGUUGCCAGGAAUAAGGAACCUUGGAUGACAAGAGAUAUUGAGCCUUCAAGCAGAAAAAAAGGAGUCAGGGCUCAGGUACAGGCAGCUAGGAUCAAGGGAAUCCCUGCAGCUAUACAGGGAAUACAGGUGUAUACUAAAGGAAAUAAGGGGGGGGUAAAAAGGGGGCACAAGAACACUUUGAGAAUGUUAGGGUGAAUCCAUAUAUUAAAGGAAAAAGAAUUACUAAUGAGAGAAUAGGGCCCCCUCAAAUGCCAAAGUGGACAUACAUAUAUGUUUCGAACCACAGGAGAUGGGCGAGGUUCUCAAUGAUUAUUUCUCCUCUGUGUUUACCAUGGAGAAAGUCAUGAAGGUUUGGGAACUCCGGGAAGUUAGUGGUCAUAUCUUAGGGAUAGCUCAUGUCACAGCAGACGUAUUGGAAUAUAUGAAGGUAAUAGAUCUCCUGGUCCUGACCAGAUAUAUCCAGAAACAUUGUAAGAAGCUAAAGAAGAAAUUGCGGGCUCUCUGGGUAUUAUUUUUGCAUCAUGGUUAUGCACAGGUGAAGUCCUGGAAGAGUAGAAUAGAGCAAAUAUUGUGCCAUUAUCCAAGAAGGGCUGCAAAGAAAAUCCUGUGAACGAUGACCAGUAAGCUUAAUACCUGGUGAUGUUCUGGAAUCUUCCAUCAUAGAAUAUAGGGAUAUUCAAAGAAACGAUUCUUCCAUUCUAUUCAACGUCUUCCAGAAAUUACUGAAUGACUUGGCCUCGACUGCUUGCUGUGAUUACAACAUCUCUGGAGGAAGACAAUUCUCCUCUUUGCUGUCUUCUGGCAAUUUCCUGUAUGGCAUUGAAAAACUUCAAGAGAGCAAUAUACAUUACGGCGUGGUCGUAUUUGGUAUUCUACCUGUCUUAGGGUGCAGAAGUCAAUAAAAUGCAUUGUGUUCCUUGA